rnacentral:lncRNA from 10 species
CUGAGAUCCAGAAUGUGAAGAUCUUGGGGUGAGGGGUAGGAUGACGGCAGCGUUAGGCCAGAAGUGCCAACUUUUCACGGUCUUUGUUGCUGCAGAAGUCAAGAAAAAUUUAGCCUCUUUCCAAGGGCUGUUGCUGCUUGGUUUCUGUUGCUAUCACAAGGAGAAAAAGGUAUUUCAGAGGGAGUUUUUCUUGUUCAAGCAAGAGACAGUUCAGAGAUUACCGGCUUUUUCAAACCAGGCUGCUUUAGUGAAAGGGACUUGCUUCCUCUACUCUCAAUGCCCUUUCCUCUGGAGAGAUGGAAAGUGGAUUUAAAAGGUGAAGAGUUGGAAAAGGAAGGUGGUGGGUUAUGGAAUUCACAGGAUCACAAACACUUUUUAAAAAAUUAGCCGGAAACGUGGCCUAAUUCAAAGCUUUCAUGUUACACACAGAAUACUUAGACCUACAGAGGUCGACCAAUUUGCUUAAGGUUAGGAGUACAGAAGGACUGGGAUGUAAAGACAUUGGACAGGUCCUAAUUACAUCUAAUCUUCAUGUGAUGUGGUUAUAAUUAAUUGAGUUGUUAAUGAAGUAAGCAAGAAAGACCUAUCUGAUUUAUCUAAAUGAGGUAAAGAAUGGGCCCUUUCAAAAGAAGUUGGGCCAAAAAUAGACUAUAUGAUGAGUGUCCAGAGAAGGUGUUAAAACUCAGCGGCUAAUAUAGAACGCUUUAUGAGUUUCCACGAGAAUAAGUCAAAUGUAAAUGAGCCUCAAGUCUGGAUCACAAAGGUCUUUCCCUAGGUCCAUGGGCGCUUCUCUAGGUGUGACAACUUCACGUCUAGUCAAAGCAGCUUCAGAGCUCAAUGUUUAAAUUGUGGGUUGGGCUCCCGGCUUUGUGGUCCUGGAGGAGGUUACUCCACUCCAUCCCGUGUGCUCCCUUCUCAGGAGUAGGCCACUAAACAAAGACUACUAGGAAGAAUCACUGAGGGGCGACUCCCGCAGGUUAGCGCUAUCUCGGGCACCCCGCAGGGAGAGAGGACACGGCUGCCCCGCGAAAACACUCUCUGGCACCCGUGCUUCCAGGACAGGCCCUGAGGCCUCUCCCGGGGAAGCAGUUACACCUGUUCUCCGGGGCUCCCCUGAAGACCCCAAAAACACCCAACACCUGCCUCCCCAGGAAAGACGCUCUGGGCCCGAUCUAUGCCGCCCGGCCGCCGGGCCUGAGUGAAGCCUGUCCAG